rnacentral:misc_RNA from 1 species
AAGUCGUAACAAGGUUUCCGUAGGUGAACCUGCGGAAGGAUCAUUACUGAAUAACUAAAUCUUUAGUUUUUCAUACCCCAUUGUUGACUCUCCCAUGUUGCUUCCACGUGGCCUGGCUUCUUUGAGCCCUUUGGCUUGCUGUGUUUAUAACACGGCUUGACAGGGAGUUGCCCGUGGUAAGACCACAAAAUUAAACUUGUAUAAUAAUACUUUGUCUGAAAUUCAUUGCAAAUGAAAUAAAACUUUCAACAACGGAUCUCUAGGCUCUU